CCCUAGCCGCGGUAGUAGUGGAAAUCCUCGAGCGUAUUUGCCCAUUUUUUCUUGCCUGUAAAAGAGCGACUAAAAGAAGCUCCUUUUAUAAGGAUAGAAAAAAAAGGCAAAUAAGCGAGAGAUUGAAACGGAUAACGCGAAGAAGC
rnacentral:sRNA from 1 species